rnacentral:rRNA from 1 species
CCUACGGGUGGCAGCAGUCGGGAAUAUUGCGCAAUGGAGGAAACUCUGACGCAGUGACGCCGCGUGCAGGAAGAAGGCUCUCGGAUUGUAAACUGCUUUAGACAGGGAAGAAAAAAGACAGUACCUGUUGAAUAAGCUCCGGCUAACUACGUGCCAGCAGCCGCGGUAAUACGGAGGAAGCAAGCGUUAUCCGGAUUUAUUGGGUUUAAAGGGUGCGUAGACGGAGAAGGAAGUUAGAUGUGAAAUCCCUCGGCUUAACUGAGGAACUGCAACUAAAACUACUUCCCUUGAGUACUGGUGAGGAAGGUGGAAUGCCUAGUGUAGCGGUGAAAUGCGUAGAGAUUA